GUAGGUGGCAAGCGUUGUCCGGAAUUAUUGGGCGUAAAGCGCGCGCAGGCGGUUCUUUAAGUCUGAUGUGAAAGCCCACGGCUCAACCGUGGAGGGUCAUUGGAAACUGGAGAACUUGAGUACAGAAGAGGAAAGCGGAAUUCCACGUGUAGCGGUGAAAUGCGUAGAGAUGUGGAGGAACACCAGUGGCGAAGGCGGCUUUCUGGUCUGUAACUGACGCUGAGGCGCGAAAGCGUGGGGGAGCAAACAGGAUUAGAUACCCUGGUAGUCCACGCCGUGAACGAUGAGUGCUAAGUGUUAGGGGGUUUCCGCCCCCCCCUUAGUGCUGCAGCUAACGCAUUAAGCACUCCCGCCUGGGGAGUACGGCCGCAAGGCUG
rnacentral:rRNA from 1 species